rnacentral:lncRNA from 1 species
CCUUCAUUCCUUUCUAGUGACCAAAAUGUAUUGGAUACUCAGCUAUGGGAGAUCCCACUGAGCGAGAGUGGCUAAAGGUAGACCUUGACCUGGGAAUAGCUGCCUUUUGAAGCAGGAACAGCUCCAGAGGCAGCUGCAUCAAGCAGUCCUGCCUGGUGAACAUCAGAGUAAUGAACGUCACUGCUGUGCUGCCUGACACCCUCAUGUUCUCCAAGCUAUAUGCCUGGACUCCUUGGCUUUGACUGCUUUUUAGCCACUCACUGGCUAUGGACAUAUCCUUCCUCCUUAUGCUUAACCUCUCUGUGCCUCAGUUUCCUCAUCUACAACGGUGAUAACAACAGUACCAAUUUUAUAGCAUCGUUGUGAGAAAUGAAGGAAUUGAGGCCUUAGGGAGUCGUGUGUACAGCCUCAUCACACAAGGAGGGUCAUAGCAGAACUGACCUGAGACCACCAGGGGUCUCUACACCUGAGCCCCCAUCCUUUCCACUAGACCAUCCUUUCUACUAGACUCCAUCUGUUUUCCACAGGGGACGACUUUGCCCACCAGGCCAUGUGGCAACAUCUGAAAAUAUUUUUGGUUGUCACAACUGAAUAGGCGGUGCUGCUGGCAUCUGGUGAGAGAGGCCAGGGCUGCAGCUGCACACCCUCCAACGCACAGGACAGUACCCCAUGACAAGGAAUUCACCUGCCUAAAUGUCAGUAGUGCUGAGAUUGAGAAACCCUACUUUAGAUGGAUCUUCUUGCCACCCAGAAAGGACUCAAGGACAACUUUUAAGAAGAGAGUGCUGAGUUGGAGCCCUGCCAUGCUUCAGCAACCACCUUCCCCUGUUGAGAACCACUGUCCUGGAGCAAUUUCCCCCAAACUUCUGUGAGGACAGGAAUCAUCAAGUCACCCAUUAGAGCUGUAGUUUUCUUCAUCCCUUCUGCUGGAGAUCCUGAUCCAGUCUUUUAAAAAAAAUUUCUAAAAAUAU